AACGAACGCUGGCGGCAGGCUUAACACAUGCAAGUCGAACGCCCCGCAAGGGGAGUGGCGCACGGGUGAGUAACGCGUGGAUAUCUGCCUUUUGGUUCGGAAUAACCCCGGGAAACUGGGGCUAAUACCGGAUGGUUCCUACGGGAUAAAGAUUUAUCGCCAAAGGAUGAGUCCGCGUACGAUUAGCUAGUUGGUGAGGUAAUGGCUCACCAAGGCGACGAUCGUUAGCUGGUCUGAGAGGACGAGCAGCCACACUGGGACUGAGACACGGCCCAGACUCCUACGGGAGGCAGCAGUGGGGAAUAUUGAACAAUGGGGGCAACCCUGAUCCAGCCAUGCCGCGUGAGUGAUGAAGGCCUUCGGGUUGUAAAGCUCUUUUGGCGGGGACGAUGAUGACGGUACCCGCAGAAUAAGCCCCGGCUAACUUCGUG
rnacentral:rRNA from 1 species